UACGGAGGGUGCAAGCGUUAAUCGGAAUUACUGGGCGUAAAGCGCGCGUAGGCGGCUGAGUAAGUCGAUUGUGAAAUCCCCGGGCUCAACCUGGGAAUUGCAGUCGAGACUGCUCGGCUAGAGUGUGGGAGAGGGUGGUGGAAUUCCCGGUGUAGCGGUGAAAUGCUUAGAUAUCGUCAAGAACACCUAUUGCGAAGGCAGCUUACUAAGCUUUAACUGACACUGAUGCACGAAAGUGUGGGGAUCAAACAGG
rnacentral:rRNA from 1 species